rnacentral:rRNA from 1 species
GAUGAACGCUGGCGGCGUGCUUAACACAUGCAAGUCGAACGAAGCACUUAAGAUUGAUUCUUCGGAUGACGUCUUUUGUGACUUAGUGGCGGACGGGUGAGUAACGCGUGGGUAACCUGCCUCACACAGGGGGAUAACAGUUAGAAAUGACUGCUAAUACCGCAUAACCCGAUAGGAUCGCAUGAUCCAGACGGAAAAGAUUUAUCGGUGUGAGAUGGACCCGCGUCUGAUUAGCUGGUUGGUGAGGUAACGGCCCACCAAGGCGACGAUCAGUAGCCGGUCUGAGAGGAUGAACGGCCACAUUGGGACUGAGAUACGGCCCAG